rnacentral:misc_RNA from 1 species
ACUCUUUAACUUUCCUAGUCACGCGAAUAUAUAGAUAGAUAAUAUACUUAAAAGGGUAAGAACUGAAAUAUUUUCAGAUAGGAUACCAGAUAAGAGAGAAUAUAUUAUUGUUUUAAUUAUAUACAUAUGAAUGUAUAAAUGCUUGUGCACGAAAGAGAGAUCAAUAUGAACUCUUCUUAACACUCCUUUAAAGAAAUAUCAUUGUUUGAAAAGGGUUUGUUGAUUUUACAUUAAGGACUGAACGUGACGAAGUUAACAGGGACAAUUUUCUAUCUUCAUAUCCUCCUGUUUCCUCACAGAGUGAAUAUACAUUUUUCUACAGUUAGAGAGCUAAGCGAUUGGAUUACAUCGGAUUUCUUUUGUUAAACUCUCGGCAACGAUGAAUAUGACAUAAAGUUUUCAACAAUGCCGAAUCAAUUGCGCAGUAAUACGUUGCCGCCGAUCGUUUCGAACACCACCGGUAGUAAUUCCACAAAUUCCUAUAACUUUUCUUCUCGAUUCCACCGCACAACAAAUUCAAGAGAGAGUAUGCUUAAAACCGAAAAUAGUCGGACAAGCAGCAGAAUGAAACUAUCUCCGAGAACACCUCCCGCUUCCUAUGGUACUUGUAAUUCAUCUUUAGCAAAUGAAUUUGCCACGAGAUUUUUUGGUAAAGCUGGUGGACGGCCUUCAGUAAUAGGCUUAGACGCCAAAAGAAUAUUAAAAGACGGCUAUUCAACUUCCAGAAGUCUUACGGGAUUUUUCCCAGCUGUAAAACUGCGAAAUCUAGAAGGUUCUAGUUCAAAUCUCAGAGGUGGCGAGAAGCACCUAUUGAAAUUAAAGAUCAAACCAUGCAGAGACAAACCAGAGAAUCAUAUUUCAAAACCGUUGUCUUUGUCUCUGGAACUUGGUCCCGUUAGGAGAGAAAGUGCUUCGACAAGACAAAAUAUGACAAUUAGACCAGAAUAUUGCGUACAAGCUCCUUUAGAACCCGAAAAGUUGGUUCGAGAAUCGUCAAGAGGCGAUUUAACAUCGCUACCAAGACCAAGAAUGGUUGUAAAAAAUAACGAAAGUCCAUGGAUAUUUAGGCAAAAAGUUAAACAAGGUAUGAACGGACUAAGUCGGUUAGUAGCGAGUAGAACUCCUACAAACUCAUCAAACUUUAUGUAUUUGCACUAUUGAAAAUUGUUUUCCUCUUUAAAGUUUUCUCUUAUUCAACUAUAUAUUUACUUUAUGUUAAUAAUGUCAUUUAAACUGCAGAAUAAAUAUUGACAGUGACUCUUAAUCUUAUGUAUAUCAUUUUCUUUUACUUUGAAAUUUCUAAUUCUUCUUUAUUCUAUAAAAGCCAAACAAAAUUAUAUAUAUAUAAGUUUAUAAAUAUUUCCCAAUUACUGACGUCAUCUAGAGCGAAAGCUAUGUUAAUCUAUCUCAAUUUUUUCGUCAACCUGAUUUAUUUAUGUUAAUCUUUAAUCCAUAAAAAAAGCCAAGCGGCUAGGGAUUUUAUAUUUUUUAUUACUAAUAAUAGAUAAUAAAGCCGAUUCGUCAAGUAGUCGCAAUACUAAAUCUUUUCAGUUUAGA